rnacentral:rRNA from 1 species
CCUACGGGUGGCAGCAGUGGGGAAUAUUGCACAAUGGGGGAAACCCUGAUGCAGCGACGCCGCGUGAGCGAUGAAGUAUUUCGGUAUGUUAAGCUCUAUUAGCAGGGAAGAAAAUGACGGUACCUGACUAAGAAGCCCCGGCUAACUACGUGCCAGCAGCCGUGGUAAUAUGUAGGGGGCAAGCGUUAUACGGAUUUACUGGGUGUAAAGGGAGCGUAGACGGCGGUGCAAGUCAGAUGUGAAAGCCCUGGGCUCAACCCCGUAACUGCAUUUGGAACUGUGCUGCUAGAGUGUCGGAGAGGCAGGCGGAAUUCAUGGUGUAGCGGUGAAAUGCGUAGAUAUUAGAAUGAACACCGAUGGCGAAGGCAGCCUGCUGGACGAUAACUGACGUUGAGGCUCGAAAGCGUGGGGAGCAAACAGGAUUAGAUACCCUUGUAGUC